GUCGAGGCCAUCUUGUUCACUCACUUCACAGAGAUACAAACAAACCAAAAGAGAUGAUUCUAUUUACUUAAGAUUCACUGGUAUGUGGGAGAGCUAUGUUUUAGACAGUAAAAAAUCUAGCUGUAAUCUGGAUGGCAGAUUGGGCAGGGAGAGGCCAGAAGCAAAGAGACCCAUUAGGAAGAUGUGACAUCAUCAGAAAUCAAGCUACGAGUGACAAAAUUUUACACCUAAGAAACUGUGACAAUAAAGAUAUUAACAGAAAUAAGGAAGACCAGAGGAAGCCAGCUAGAGGAAGAGGAGUUUGGUGUAACGUAUCUGAUGGAGGGUGACACAAGAGAGAAAAUAUGCAAUCAUCAAUUGAGGACUUUUAUCUCGGGUUCAGGAGGUGCUAGCCCUAAGGAGAGACUUGUAGGAACUAUCUGCAUAAUAGUGAUCUGCAGGUCUAAAAAGUGUUUUAAAUGGAGCAAUAAUUACCAUUCACGUGUUACACAGAAAUAAAUAAUAAUAGCCAACAUUUA
rnacentral:lncRNA from 1 species